rnacentral:rRNA from 1 species
GAUGAACGCUGGCGGUCUGCUUAACACAUGCAAGUCGAACGGGCUCUUCGGAGCUAGUGGCGGACGGGUGAGUAACGCGUGAGGAUCUGCCCUUAGGACGGGGACAACAGCUGGAAACGGCUGCUAAUACCCGAUGUGCCGAGAGGUGAAACUAUUUGGCCUGAGGAUGAGCUCGCGUCUGAUUAGCUAGUUGGAGUGGUAACGGCACACCAAGGCGACGAUCAGUAGCUGGUCUGAGAGGAUGAUCAGCCACACUGGGACUGAGACACGGCCCAGACUCCUACGGGAGGCAGCAGUGGGGAAUUUUCCGCAAUGGGCGAAAGCCUGACGGAGCAAGACCGCGUGCGGGAGGAAGGUCUAUUGAUUGUAAACCGCUUUUGAUAGGGAAGAAGAUCUGACGGUACCUAUCGAAUCAGCAUCGGCUAACUCCGUGCCAGCAGCCGCGGUAAUACGGGGGAUGCAAGCGUUAUCCGGAAUUAUUGGGCGUAAAGCGUCCGUAGGUGGUUUUAAAAGUCUGUUGUCAAAUCGCGAGGCUUAACCUCGUACAGGCAGUGGAAACUAUAAGACUAGAGUGCGGUAGGGGUAGAGGGAAUUUCCAGUGUAGCGGUGAAAUGCGUAGAUAUUGGAAAGAACACCGGUGGCGAAGGCGCUCUACUGGGCCUGCACUGACACUGAGGGACUAAAGCUAGGGGAGCGAAAGGGAUUAGAUACCCCUGUAGUCCUAGCCGUAAACGAUGGAAACUAGGUGUUGCCCG